GGGAGAGACCCGUCACCUUCAUCAACAUCACCAUCAUCGUCACCAUCAUCAUCGUCAGCGUAGGUAAGAGGAGGUGUAGCAGGAGGUGUAGGUGUGAGGAGGUGUAACAGGAGGUGUAAGUGUGAGGAGGUGUAACAGGAGGUGUAAGUGUGAGGAGGUGUAACAGUAGGUGUAAGUGUGAGGAGGUGUAACAGGAGGUGUAGGUGUGAGGAGGUGUAAGUGUGAGGAGGUGUAGCAGGAGGUGUAGGUGUGAGGAGGUGUAAGUGUGAGGAGGUGUAGCAGGAGGUGUAGGUGUGAGGAGGUGUAAGUGUGAGGAGGUGUAGCAGGAGGUGUAAGUGUGAGGAGGUGUAACAGUAGGUGUAAGUGUGAGGAGGUGUAACAGUAGGUGUAAGUGUGAGGAGGUGUAGCAGGAGGUGUAGGUGUGAGGAGGUGUAAGUGUGAGGAGGUGUAACAGGAGGUGUAGGUGUGAGGAGGUGUAACAGGAGGUGUAAGUGUGAGGAGGUGUAACAGGAGGUGUAAGUGUGAGGAGGUGUAACAGGAGGUGUAGGUGUGAGGAGGUGUAACAGGAGGUGUAAGUGUGAGGAGGUGUAACAGUAGGUGUAAGUGUGAGGAGGUGUAACAGGAGGUGUAAGUGUGAGGAGGUGUAACAGGAGGUGUAAGUGUGAGGAGGUGUAACAGUAGGUGUAAGUGUGAGGAGGUGUAACAGGAGGUGUAGGUGUGAGGAGGUGUAACAGGAGGUGUAGGUGUGAGGAGGUGUAACAGGAGGUGUAAGUGUGAGGAGGUGUAACAGGAGGUGUAAGUGUGAGGAGGUGUAACAGUAGGUGUAAGUGUGAGGAGGUGUAACAGGAGGUGUAGGUGUGAGGAGGUGUAACAGGAGGUGUAGGUGUGAGGAGGUGUAACAGGAGGUGUAAGUGUGAGGAGGUGUAACAGUAGGUGUAAGUGUGAGGAGGUGUAACAGGAGGUGUAAGUGUGAGGAGGUGUAACAGGAGGUGUAAGUGUGAGGAGGUGUAACAGUAGGUGUAAGUGUGAGGAGGUGUAACAGGAGGUGUAGGUGUGAGGAGGUGUAACAGUAGGUGUAAGUAUGAGGAGGUGUAGCAGGAGGUGUAACAGUAGGUGUAGGUGUAGCAGUAGGUGUAAGUGUGAGGAGGUGUAGCAGGAGGUG